GACGAACCGUGCGACCGUUAUUCGGAAUCACUGGGCUUAAAGGGCGCGUAGGCGGGCCGCAUAGCCAAGGGUGAAAUCCUCCGGCUCAACCGGAGAAGGGCCUUUGGUACUGGCGGCCUCGAGGGGUGCAGGGGCGUGCGGAACUCAGGGUGGAGCGGUGAAAUGCGUAGAUAUCCUGAGGAACACCGGUGGCGGAGGCGGCACGCUGGACACCUUCUGACGCUGAGGCGCGAAAGCCAGGGGAGCAAACGGG
rnacentral:rRNA from 1 species